ACCGGCAGCUAACUAGCGCGAUCUCUUGUAGGAGAAGGUGAAGUGUGUGUGGUUGUGUUUGUCAUGAAUCAAAAUUACAUUUUGUUAUUAAAUGGACUGCCUGUUUAUUUUUGCGAAGCUCCAGCCUGAGAGCCCUUUGCCUGACUGUGUUUAUAUUUCAAGAAUGCGGAAGUUACGCAGUAGCUGUUGCCCGCACUGGCGUGUCUGCUGAGUCACGAGUCUGCCCCUAGUUUGAAGGCUUUGUGCUUUAUGGCUGCAACACCUGACAGUGGGAACUCCAGAGAUAAAAGACCAAGAAAAGUGUUUGGAGAGAACGGGGAACCAUCUUCAGAGGCAUAGAUGUUUAAAUGCUGCUGCAGACGGAACAUAGGACUUAACUGAAUAAUGACAAGACAGGUCGUCCCAGAGUAAUGCUGAACACUCGUAGGUUCAAAUCUUGGAAGAUCGGCUAUCCUCAUUGGACGACGACGUGAAAGCAGAUGUAUUGUAUUCGUAUCUUACAAAUCAGAAGACAUUUUCUUUAUUUCGGAUACCACAUUUUCCUAAAAUCUGGCUACUGUUGCUUAUGGCUUUGAAGGGCCUGGUAUUCCCAGCUGAGGUCGCAGUGACCUCUCUCCAUAUUCAAGAAAUAACAAGACGGAGUGUAUGCAGAAGUUCGCAUUGGCCUUAAUGCGCACUCACUACAGGUAAAAACUUUAAAGUUACCCACACUAUGGAUACAGCGUCGCCAAAUAUAUACAGUAUACGAGUUGUGGACCUUAACUUGGCCUACGCUUUAUGUAUCUUGUUAUUUUCUUGUACAAUGAAUUGGUUUGGAUUUAAUUUAUAAAUUCUAAUUACGACUAGAUGUGAAAUGGGAAUUAUGUUAAUUCGAUGCAAAGUGAAAUUAAAUUAACUUUACGACUAUCGAAAAGUGUGAUGAAGUUGCAGAGAUGAGACAUUAA